rnacentral:ncRNA from 2 species
UGAUGGAACUCUGGAAAGACGUUACGCACCGUAGGAGCAAUACAUGUAAAUGUAAAAACUCUCAGGUAAAAAUACAGAGAUAUAAUG